UCCUACGGGGGGCAGCAAUUAGGAAUCUUGCGCAAUGGGCGAAAGCCUGACGCAGCGACGUCGCGUGACUGAUGAAGUCUUUCGGGAUGUAAAGGUCUUUUGCAGGGGAAGAAGGAUGUGACGGUACCCUGCGAAUAAGCCCCGGCUAACUACGUGCCAGCAGCCGCGGUAAUACGUAGGGGGCGAGCGUUGUCCGAAUUUACUGGGCGUAAAGCGCGCGUAGGCGGGCUAUUAAGUUGUGGGUGAAAUCCCGGAGCUCAACUCCGGAACUGCCUGCAAAACUGGUAGCCUUGAGGUAUGGAGAGGGAAGUGGAAUUCCUGGUGUAGCGGUGAAAUGCGUAGAUAUCAGGAGGAACACCUGUGGCGAAGGCGGCUUCCUGGCCAUAUCCUGACGCUGAGGUGCGAAAGCCAGGGGAGCGAACGGGAUUAGAAACCCUAGUAGUCCA
rnacentral:rRNA from 1 species